GACGAACGCUGGCGGCGUGCUUAACACAUGCAAGUCGAACGGAAAGGCCCUGCUUUUGUGGGGUGCUCGAGUGGCGAACGGGUGAGUAACACGUGAGUAACCUGCCCUUGACUUUGGGAUAACUUCAGGAAACUGGGGCUAAUACCGGAUAGGAGCUCCUGCUGCAUGGUGGGGGUUGGAAAGUUUCGGCGGUUGGGGAUGGACUCGCGGCUUAUCAGCUUGUUGGUGGGGUAGUGGCUUACCAAGGCUUUGACGGGUAGCCGGCCUGAGAGGGUGACCGGCCACAUUGGGACUGAGAUACGGCCCAGACUCCUACGGGAGGCAGCAGUGGGGAAUAUUGCACAAUGGGCGGAAGCCUGAUGCAGCAACGCCGCGUGCGGGAUGACGGCCUUCGGGUUGUAAACCGAUUUCGCCUGUGACGAAGCGUGAGGGAAGGUAAUGGGUAAAGAAGCACCGGCUAACUACGU
rnacentral:rRNA from 1 species